GAUCCCAGGGACGCCCCCACAGGUAGACGAAGAGGGUCCAGAGAAAGGUGGGGAUUCCCUAACCCCUUCUUUCUUGGCACAGACAGGCAGAGAACACCUCUUUUCUCACCCCUGGGCAGCCCCAGGAAGUCAAUCCUUCCACUAUUCCUGCUCCGUGCCUCUCUUCCCUCUGCCCAGAUUCCUGGGAGACUCAAAACCCUGUUCAACUCUCUCUGGGCUAGCUGCUCCCCUCCCCAAGAGGAUUUCUCUCCAGAGCUGGUAUCAUCGCUUAAUGAUGUUCCACCAACAAGGGGAAGAUUCAGCCAUGUCUUCCUAGGAUCCAGCAUCCAAACCUGGACCAAAGUCCUCGGAUCCUCAGCAAUGGGGGUGCAUCUGGUGAUGGUGUUCAUGCUAAAUUUGUGCCAAGAGACACCUGUACUUGUGGGAGAAUUAAUAUUUCACUUCUGUUUAGGUUUCUUUUCUGGGAGCUGCUAUCACUGAAUACAUAAAGAAAUUGAGCCUAUAUGAUUUCAAUCUUCACCUUCUGAUGCUGAUGAAACAGGAUUCUAUGCAGUUUUCCACAGGGAGAAGCAGCAGGCUGAAGUGGCUCUUUAGGGAGACACAUACCUCCACAGGAAGAGCAGUCUAGAUUGUUUUAGCACAUUCCACUUAAGGAUUGCAGUGUGACAGCAGAGAAAAUCCUCUCCAGUCAAGUAAUUGCAUCCAUUUCAUCUUCCCAGCCCUCCUCUAGAUGGGAGGUGGAGGUGUGUGUACCAAUCUCUUAAUUCAGAAAUGAGACAAGAGGAGGAAAAAGGAGUUCCGGAGGACAGUGGGGACCCCAGCCAGAGCCUGGGGACUUGGCUGCCUUGGAACCAGAACCUGGCCCCUCAGAGGAGUUGCAGAAUUUCGAUAGAGGAGUGGCAGGAGGUGUACUGGCUGAAGAGGAGGCCCAAGGAACUCCUUUUCAUACAUCAAAACUGAGCUUAUCACCUCUACCCUGAAGUCAUCCUGGACAUCACUGGUCCCAGUUAAUCACUCACUUAUCUUUGCCAUCCUUGACCUGGGAAGAGAACGUUGCCCUCAUUGGUCUGGAAUCAGCAGGUACCUCAUGGCUGGAGGUGUAUUUUCAGGUGGG
rnacentral:lncRNA from 1 species